UGUUGAAAAUUUCAUCCAUUUUUAUUGUUAAAAAUCGGUGUGGUUGAUAGAAUAACCAGACAAUUGCACGAGCAUGUGUAACUUGUUCUAACAUAUAAGAACUAGUUUUUAACAAUAGAAAUAGAAACUUUUUAAUA
rfam:Gossypium hirsutum cultivar TM-1 chromosome 6, whole genome shotgun sequence